rnacentral:tRNA from 2 species
UGGGGCGUGGCCAAGUGGUUAAGGCAUCGGGUUUUGAUCCCGACACUCGGAGGUUCGAAUCCUCCCGCCCCAGCCA